UCUAUUUUCAUUAAAGCAAGGCGAAGGCCAGAGUCAAAGGAACCUAACAAGUAUAAGAUAGACGCAUAUCACAGAGGUAUCGAGGAGCCAGGUUGUGUAGAGAUUGAAAUAGUUGUCACGGAGUGACUUCAAUGGGGCGGAACUAAAGUGAGUAGGAAGAGGUUCCGCCCGGACCCGGUUGCACAAACACUGGCACUUCCGGGUUUCCCGGGGAUCCCCGCAAUCACCCAAAACAAGACACAGCUGUACCAUCGACGUGGCAAACAACGAUUGGGUGAGUCACGCUGGCAGAGGUGUAUGUAAAGGAGAGUUGGAAGAAGACAGGAAGUAUUUGGUUGCGUCGGAAUAACGUUGGGAAUAUCCGUGGGCUGAGUUGUUUACAUUAGGAGGCGGCAUUGGGCGAGUGUUGGAGAUCUGUAAAGGAGAAAACACUGUUAAAGUCAACCAAAGGGUGAGCAUUGGAGCUAAACUUACCCAGCACGACUCGGAAGCCCAGAGAAACCUGUAAAGCAAGAUACUCACCGUGUUACGAGCUAAAGUUAAACUUACCCAGCACAACUCGAAAGCCCAGAGAAACCUGUAAAGAAAGAUACUCACCGUGUUACAAGCUAAAGCUACACUUACCCAGUACGACCCGAAAAGUCCAGGGAAACCUGCAAAGGAACAUAACCAUUGUGCUACGAGUUAAAGCUAAACUACCCAGCACGAUUUGAAGGUUCAGGGAAACUUACAAAGGAAGAUACUUACCACAUUACAGUCCUAUCUAACCUACCUCUCACGACUUGUUGAAGUUCCAGCCGUGGUAGUACAGAGGGCAUUCCAUUGGCCACAAGUAAAGCCACUCUUACCCAGUUGUGAUUCCUUGGCCUGAGUGUCUGCUGAAGGAAAAGGAAGUUAGUGAAGAGACACAGAGUUGACUAAAACCGACGCAAUACUUACGUUGUGUUUACUUUACCCUCAGGAGGAACCCAGGAGCCCCGAGAAGUCUCUCCCUGCAGGAGGUGGGCCGAGGUCGAAGGAGCUCCACCCGGCCCUUGCCCUGCUAGCCUCCGAUCCACCGGAGCCAGGCUUCUCUCCCCUCCAACGCCCCUUGCCCCGUAGUUCCCCCCUGAGGGAGAGAGAGAAGAAAGUUUUUAGAUUCCCUUCCCAUUUCCCUGUUCUAAUUUUAAUUAAAUUAAAUAAAGUUUCAAAGCUUUAAAAGACCGUGUGAUAAAGCAGUCUUCAAUUAAUACAGUGUCUGAAUUGCAAGAAGAAGUGCCCCUCCACUUAAACAUGUGACAUCUAAACUGUUUUGUGUUUUAGUUCAGCUUUUUAUAGGUUUAUCUUAAGUUGGUUAAAGGCAGAGUGCACUUUUUUUGAAAAACAAUUUUAAAAAAUUAAAAGCCUUAUAAUGAAGGCAACACAUGCUGUAAGUGUCUAUAUUAGCAUUAUUAGCCUUUCAAAAUGAUAAGUAGGCUACAAAUACAUAAUGAGCAUUUAUGAUUAAAUGUUUAUUUUUCCUUCAGCGCAUCCUGAAGAGAAUGACGCACCCACGUGACUACUCGGCUGUACGAUGCUUUAAGUUUAACUUCCAUUAUAAUUUUAAUGUAUUAUGUUUUGUUGAAUUGAUGAAAUUAUAGAAAUACAAUAAAGAAAUCAGAUUUUUUAUGUCAUUUUUAUUUUAGGAUUUGAAAAAAACUACACAAUGUGCAACAUGCACUGUAAUUUCGGACCUCCCCAUGGAAAGAAAAUGCAGUCCUCUUCAAUUCUAAAUAAUACAAAACCUGCUCGCUCUUCUCUUUCCCCCUUAUCUGGGCAACAGACAGAGUGCAAUAAAACAGCAGCCUUUUGAAACGAGCUGGAAAAGUAUUUUAAACAUGCAUAAAACAUGCAUUUAAACCGUAUAAAGCAAGCGACGAUAAAACACAAAAACAUAAAAGCAGCCCAGUC